GCCGGUCUGUCGCACGCUAACAAGCGCGAGGAAAGUCCGGGCAACACAGAGCGCCAUACUUCUUAACGAGAAGCUGUCCGCAAGGGUAGAGUAGCGUAACAGAAAAGAACCGCCGGAUUUAUCCGGCAAGGGUGAAAAGGUGAGGUAAGAGCUCACCGGGUCCCUUAGCGAUAGGGGAUGCCGUACGCCUUAUGGGUUGUAAGGUCAUGUAUACCGGCGUUGUAGGAUGGCUCGUCCGAUGCCGGGGGGUAGACCGCUAAAGCUUAUCGGUGACGGUAAGACAAGAUAAAUGACAGACACCUUUUCCCUCUGGGAACAAGGCACAGAACCCGGCUUAUAGGCAGGCUGC
rnacentral:RNase_P_RNA from 1 species